rnacentral:rRNA from 1 species
ACGGAGGGUGCGAGCGUUAUCCGGAAUUACUGGGUUUAAAGGGUGCGUAGGCGGCCAAGUAAGUCAGGAGUGAAAGUUUGCGGCUCAACCGUAAAAUUGCUUUUGAUACUGCUAGGCUGGAAUUAGGAUGAGGUCAGCGGAAUGUGGCAUGUAGCGGUGAAAUGCAUAGAUAUGCCAUAGAACACCAAUUGCGAAGGCAGCUUACUAGGCUGUAACUGACGCUGAGGCACGAAAGCGUGGGGAGCGAACAGGA